rnacentral:rRNA from 1 species
CUCCUACGGGAGGCAGCAGUGGGGAAUAUUGCGCAAUGGGGGAAACCCUGACGCAGCAACGCCGCGUGGGUGACGAAGGCCCUUGGGUCGUAAAGCCCUGUCAGUAGGGAAGAACUGUCUGGUGGUUAAUACCCACCAGGUUUGACGGUACCUACAAAGGAAGCACCGGCUAACUCCGUGCCAGCAGCCGCGGUAAUACGGAGGGUGCGAGCGUUGUUCGGAAUCACUGGGCGUAAAGCGUGCGUAGGCGGCUGUGUAAGUCGGGUGUGAAAGCCCGGGGCUCAACCCCGGAACUGCGCCCGAAACUACACGGCUUGAGUCCGGAAGAGGGUUGCGGAAUUACCGGUGUAGAGGUGAAAUUCGUAGAUAUCGGUAAGAACAUCUGUGGCGAAGGCGGCAACCUGGUUCGAGACUGACGCUGAGGUACGAAAGCGUGGGGAGCAAACAGGAUUAGAUACCCUGGUAGUCCACGCUGUAAACGAUGUUCACUAGGUGAUGGACGGCACGCGCCGUUUAUUGCCGUAAGCUAACGCGUUAAGUGAACCGCCUGGGGAGUACGGUCGCAAGAUUAAAACUCAAAGGAAUUGACGG